AGGGAAUCUUCGGCAAUGGGGGCAACCCUGACCGAGCAACGCCGCGUGAGUGAAGAAGGUUUUCGGAUCGUAAAGCUCUGUUGUAAGUCAAGAACGGGUGUGAGAGUGGAAAGUUCACACUGUGACGGUAGCUUACCAGAAAGGGACGGCUAACUACGUGCCAGCAGCCGCGGUAAUACGUGGGUCCCGAGCGUUGUCCGGAUUUAUUGGGCGUAAAGCGAGCGCAGGCGGUUUGAUAAGUCUGAAGUUAAAGGCUGUGGCUCAACCAUAGUUCGCUUUGGAAACUGUCAAACUUGAGUGCAGAAGGGGAGAGUGGAAUUCCAUGUGUAGCGGUGAAAUGCGUAGAUAUAUGGAGGAACACCGGUGGCGAAAGCGGCUCUCUGGUCUGUAACUGACGCUGAGGCUCGAAAGCGUGGGGAGCGAACAGGAUUAGAUACCCUGGUAGUCCACGCCGUAAACGAUGAGUGCUAGGUGUUGGAUCCUUUCCGGGAUUCAGUGCCGCAGCUAACGCAUUAAGCACUCCGCCUGGGGAGUACGACCGCAAGGUUGAAACG
rnacentral:rRNA from 1 species